AGCAGCCGCGGUAAUUCCAGCUCCAAUAGCGUAUAUUAAAGUUGUUGCAGUUAAAAAGCUCGUAGUUGAAUUUUGGAUUCUUCCAAUUGGUCCAUCUUUUAGAUGAGUACUGGUUGUGUGGGGUCUAUCCGCCUGGUGAUACGUAAUGUCCUUUAUUGGAUGUUUCGGGUAGUCAGGACCUUUACCUUGAAAAAAUUAGAGUGUUUAAAGCAGGCUUAUGCCGGAAUACAUUAGCAUGGAAUAAUAGAAUAGGACGAAGUUGUUUUAUUUUGUUGGUUUCUAGGACAACCGUAAUGAUUAAUAGGGAUAGUUGGGGGCAUUAGUAUUCAAUUGUCAGAGGUGAAAUUCUUGGAUUUAUUGAAGACUAACUACUGCGAAAGCAUUUGCCAAGGAUGUUUUCAUUAAUCAAGAACGAAAGUUAGGGGAUCGAAGACGAUCAGAUACCGUCGUAGUCUUAACCAUAAACUAUGCCGACUAGGGAUCGGGCGAUGUUGUUUCCAUGACUCGCUCGGCACCUUAU
rnacentral:ncRNA from 2 species